rfam:Triticum aestivum genome assembly, contig: Triticum_aestivum_CS42_TGACv1_scaffold_392607_5AS
GACGUACUCCCUCCGUUCGGAAUUACUUGUCUCAGAACUGAAUGUAUCUAGAACUAAAAUACGUCUAGAUACAUCCAUUUCCGUGACAAGUAAUUCCAAACGGAUGGAGUACGAG